rnacentral:rRNA from 1 species
AACGAACGCUGGCGGCAGGCUUAACACAUGCAAGUCGAGCGCCCCGCAAGGGGAGCGGCAGACGGGUGAGUAACGCGUGGGGAUCUGCCUAGUGGUACGGAACAACACGGGGAAACUCGUGCUAAUACCGUAUAAGUCCUUCGGGAGAAAGAUUUAUCGCCAUUAGAUGAACCCGCGUCUGAUUAGCUAGUUGGUGAGGUAACGGCUCACCAAGGCGACGAUCAGUAGCUGGUCUGCGCGGAUGGUCAGCCACACUGGGACUGAGACACGGCCGAGGUGCCAGCGGGGGGCAGCAGUGGGGAAAAUUGGACAAUGGGCGCAAGCCUGAUCCAGACACGCCGCUUGAGUGAUGAAGGCCUUAGGGUUGUAAAGCUCUGUCGCUGGGGAAGAUAAUGACGGUACCCAGAGAAGAAGCCCCGGCUAACUGCGUGCCAGCAGCCGCAGUAA